AUAAAUUUUCCGUCUCAUAUAAGCCUGUGCAGUCUGCACAUGGUAAUCAGGAACAACACUUUCUGCUUUAAUAGAAGUUUUUUUGUAAAGGAAGUCGUUUUCGAAAUGAAAAUCAAUGCUAGGCAGAAAGUAACGUCCCAUGGGGAUUUUAUUUUUUCCUAAAAAUUCAUAAAAAUUUUAGAAGUGUUUUCAAUAGUGUAUUUUCUAAGGUUCAACCCAUAAAGCUGCAUAUGUAAAUUGACCAAAUAUUGCAUUUAAUUACAAAAAAUAAGACAUUUCUGGAAACCUUCAAAAGAAAAUUUAGGCAGUCAUUUGGGAAAAAUUAUUUACGUUUUGAUAUUUGAAAUGGGGCAAAAUAAUCGCAAAUUUGACAAAAAAAACACCCUGUAUCUCUAUGUCAAAUACUCCAGAUUCAAUAUUAAUUCUUAUAAAUUGCUGCUUCUAUGACGCUGGCCAAGAGCCUGGUGGUGCUGACAGUGCUGUUUGGGGUCCAUUUCAUAAUUGCCACCCUGCAGGCAGAAGCCAUCGACCCCGAGGGCACCGUCUUCUUUAUCCUGCUGAUCAUCGAGAUGUUCUUCAACUCCUACCAGGGACUGUGAAUCGCUGUCCUCCUCUGCUUCACCAAAUCUGAUGUUCGUUCUAAGGUUAAGAAGUCUUGGAGUAGGAUAAGCAUGCGACGGUCGAGUGCCGUAUUCCGCACGAGUUUUCUGAAUACCCGCAGGUCGUUCAGUAUAGCAACGAAAACAUCAGAAGUCAGUAAUUUGAAUUCUGCGCAUAAACGUUACACGAUAGGGUGGAAAUCCUCUGUAACAGACAUUGAACUGACUGUGCCAUUUAAAAACACUCUUGUUGGACCUUGCUGCAGCAUCGAAUGCGACGCUACGGAUACUGACAUGGGUAUGGCCUCGGAAAACAACCUGACCUCCGGCUCAAAAUCAAACGGUCAUUUGGACUUAAAGCCGGACAAGUUUGAACUUAAAAUAAACGUGGUGAACAUUGAGUUUACAAUUCGCGAUGGUUUGAGUCGAAACACGACAGCGUUAGACAUUCAGGCGUUGAAGAAUGGUUGUCCUAUCAGCAGCGAAUAGAUUCUAAGCAAUAACGUGAAAGAGCCUUCCCUUCGAUCAGAAAUGUUGGAUCCUUUGUUUUAUGUGGACAUAAAGGAGACUAAGUAAUGUUAGCCCCUUCUAUAUUUGAUGAUAUAGCGCAAAGAUUCUAAAUAAUAAUUUGAAAGAGCUCUGCCUUCGCUGCGUUCAUCAGAAACCUUGGACCCUUUGUUUUAUGAGGACGACAAUGAGACUAUGCUAUUUAAGUCUCUUCUAUAUUUAAUGUUAUAUUGGGUUUGUGUGCUAUCAUUGUGUAACUUACCACUUUCUGAAAAAACAAAAACAAGUAAUAAAUUGUAGUACGAUAUUACCAGACCAUUCUGACAGUGAUGGUUUUGGGACUUUCGCUGAGACUGAUUGGGUGUUUUAUUUGACUCCGAAUCUUACUAAAAUGUAAUUACUUUUACUAUAAUGGUAUAUUAAAAUAAGGUUUUCUGAAACCACUUGUAAUAUUUCAAAAUAAUACUGCAUCUACACAUUUUUUUAAUUAAAUUAUUUUGAUUGCUGCCAUUGAGGUGUGUAACUUGUGGGCUGUUUUUGGCAUCUUUUUUAUGCUCAUGCAUCCGAGUACCAAGUUUGCGACCUGUUUCUUCUAUGUACACAGUUUCACAAUUCUUGCACGGGAUCUUGUAUACACAGCCACACAUCUCUUCCGUCAGCGUCUUGUCCUUAGGAUGUACGAGAAAGCGUCUGAGAGUACUGUGUGGUUGCAUUGCUACACUUAUGCUGUGCUUUCUGUAGACUCGCGCCAGCGCCUCAGAUACAUUUUUCACAUGAACAGAAGCUGUAUUAAAUAUAUUAUUUAUCUUAAAGCUGUUUAUUAAAAGUAAUCUGCUAUAUAACGGCGUAUGCAGAACAUUUUAGAAAAAAUAUCAUUAAGAGACCAUGUAUUAAAUUAAAAACAAAAACAAAUGAACACUUUAAUAGAUAAGUAAGAAUUGUUAUGUUUAUCAUGACUUUUUAAGAUGACUUUUUGGUUGAGUAGAAUGUUUAAACUGCCUUGAAAAAUUAUUGUUAAGUAAAAUGCACAGCAGAACUUAAUAGAUGAUAUUUUUGCUAUUAUAUAUUGCAAUACUUUCGCAAUAUUGGCAUCUCAAAUUAUUGGUAUUGUAAUGUUGAUUUUUGUGUUAAUUACUGUAUUAAAUGUUUUGUUUUUAAAAAACUGUCGCCAAAAUUGCUUUGUUCAUGAACAUGUAUACAAACUGAUCAUUUUAUCACCAUCAAAUUUGAUAUCCAAAUAAAAUGAUGUUUACCAUGCAGUUUGACAAUCUGUGUACAAUAACUAUAUAAUGUAUAUAGCCAACCUUGAUAUGAGCGUCCGAGAAAACCGGGCGUAAGACAUGUGCUUAAAGUAUGAUCCUAGAUUGGCCUGUGCAGUCCACACAGGCUAACCGAGAACGCAACUUUUUACUUUUAUGGUAUUUUUUGUUUCAAGAAAGUCUCUUUUAGCAAAAAUGCUGUUUAUGCGGAUAGUUGCGGAGGGCGGAUGCUAAUCUGGGCUCACUUAUGUUACGUAACGAAUGUGUGUUAUGAGUUGGUUGUUUUUUAUGUUUUGUGUAUUCUAUUAAAACAAGAGAAAACCUU